rnacentral:SRP_RNA from 1 species
GCUGGGCGUGGUGGCGCAUGCCUGUCAUCCCAGCAUCUCAGGAGGCUGAGACUGGAGCAUCAAGAGUUGGAUGCCAGCCUCAGCAGAAAUAAGUGAGGUGCUAAGCAGCUCAAUGAGACCCUGUCUCAA